rnacentral:rRNA from 1 species
CCUGAUAUCAGCGGCGGACGGGUGAGUAACACGUGGGUAACCUGCCUGUAAGACUGGGAUAACUCCGGGAAACCGGGGCUAAUACCGGAUAACUCAUUUCCUCGCAUGAGGAAAUGUUGAAAGGUGGCUUUUAGCUAUCACUUACAGAUGGACCCGCGGCGCAUUAGCUAGUUGGUGAGGUAACGGCUCACCAAGGCAACGAUGCGUAGCCRACCUGAGAGGGUGAUCGGCCACACUGGGACUGAGACACGGCCCARACUCCUACGGGAGGCAGCAGUAGGGAAUCUUCCGCAAUGGACGAAAGUCUGACGGAGCAACGCCGCGUGAGUGAUGAAGGUUUUCGGAUCGUAAAGCUCUGUUGUUAGGGAAGAACAAGUGCCGUUCGAAUAGGGCGGCACCUUGACGGUACCUAACCAGAAAGCCACGGCUAACUACGUGCCAGCAGCCGCGGUAAUACGUAGGUGGCAAGCGUUGUCCGGAAUUAUUGGGCGUAAAGCGCGCGCAGGUGGUUCCUUAAGUCUGAUGUGAAAGCCCACGGCUCAACCGUGGAGGGUCAUUGGAAACUGGGGGACUUGAGUGCAGAAGAGGAAAGUGGAAUUCCAAGUGUAGCGGUGAAAUGCGUAGAUAUUUGGAGGAACACCAGUGGCGAAGGCGACUUUCUGGUCUGUAACUGACACUGAGGCGCGAAAGCGUGGGGAGCAAACAGGAUUAGAUACCCUGGUAGUCCACGCCGUAAACGAUGAGUGCUAAGUGUUAGGGGGUUUCCGCCCCUUAGUGCUGCAGCUAACGCAUUAAGCACUCCGCCUGGGGAGUACGGUCGCAAGACUGAAACUCAAGGAAUUGACGGGGGCCCGCACAAGCGGUGGAGCAUGUGGUUUA